rnacentral:tRNA from 1 species
GUUGUGGCUCAGUGAUAGAGUGCUUGCCUAGCAUGUGAGAGGCACUGGGUUCAAUUCUCAGCAUUACA